rnacentral:rRNA from 1 species
CGCUGAAGAGAGGAGCUUGCUCUUCUUGGAUGAGUUGCGAACGGGUGAGUAACGCGUAGGUAACCUGCCUUGUAGCGGGGGAUAACUAUUGGAAACGAUAGCUAAUACCGCAUAACAAUGGAUGACACAUGUCAUUUAUUUGAAAGGGGCAAUUGCUCCACUACAAGAUGGACCUGCGUUGUAUUAGCUAGUAGGUGAGGUAAUGGCUCACCUAGGCGACGAUACAUAGCCGACCUGAGAGGGUGAUCGGCCACACUGGGACUGAGACACGGCCCAGACUCCUACGGGAGGCAGCAGUAGGGAAUCUUCGGCAAUGGGGGCAACCCUGACCGAGCAACGCCGCGUGAGUGAAGAAGGUUUUCGGAUCGUAAAGCUCUGUUGUAAGUCAAGAACGGGUGUGAGAGUGGAAAGUUCACACUGUGACGGUAGCUUACCAGAAAGGGACGGCUAACUACGUGCCAGCAGCCGCGGUAAUACGUAGGUCCCGAGCGUUGUCCGGAUUUAUUGGGCGUAAAGCGAGCGCAGGCGGUUUGAUAAGUCUGAAGUUAAAGGCUGUGGCUCAACCAUAGUUCGCUUUGGAAACUGUCAAACUUGAGUGCAGAAGGGGAGAGUGGAAUUCCAUGUGUAGCGGUGAAAUGCGUAGAUAUAUGGAGGAACACCGGUGGCGAAAGCGGCUCUCUGGUCUGUAACUGACGCUGAGGCUCGAAAGCGUGGGGAGCGAACAGGAUUAGAUACCCUGGUAGUCCACGCCGUAAACGAUGAGUGCUAGGUGUUGGAUCCUUUCCGGGAUUCAGUGCCGCAGCUAACGCAUUAAGCACUCCGCCUGGGGAGUACGACCGCAAGGUUGAAACUCAAAGGAAUUGACGGGGGCCCGCACAAGCGGUGGAGCAUGUGGUUUAAUUCGAAGCAACGCGAAGAACCUUACCAGGUCUUGACAUCCCGAUGCUAUUUCUAGAGAUAGAAAGUUACUUCGGUACAUCGGUGACAGGUGGUGCAUGGUUGUCGUCAGCUCGUGUCGUGAGAUGUUGGGUUAAGUCCCGCAACGAGCGCAACCCCUAUUGUUAGUUGCCAUCAUUCAGUUGGGCACUCUAGCGAGACUGCCGGUAAUAAACCGGAGGAAGGUGGGGAUGACGUCAAAUCAUCAUGCCCCUUAUGACCUGGGCUACACACGUGCUACAAUGGUUGGUACAACGAGUUGCGAGUCGGUGACGGCGAGCUAAUCUCUUAAAGCCAAUCUCAGUUCGGAUUGUAGGCUGCAACUCGCCUACAUGAAGUCGGAAUCGCUAGUAAUCGCGGAUCAGCACGCCGCGGUGAAUACGUUCCCGGGCCUUGUACACACCGCCCGUCACACCACGAGAGUUUGUAACACCCGAAGUCGGUGAGGUA